UACGGAGGGUCCAAGCGUUAUCCGGAAUCAUUGGGUUUAAAGGGUCCGUAGGCGGUUUUGUAAGUCAGUGGUGAAAGCCCAUCGCUCAACGGUGGAACGGCCAUUGAUACUGCAAGACUUGAAUUAUUAGGAAGUAACUAGAAUAUGUAGUGUAGCGGUGAAAUGCUUAGAGAUUACAUGGAAUACCAAUUGCGAAGGCAGGUUACUACUAAUGGAUUGACGCUGAUGGACGAAAGCGUGGGGGAGCGAACAGG
rnacentral:rRNA from 1 species